UCCUCAACUUGUAAUGUCUUCAGAGGCCUCUUGAAUCUUCAUUCAUUGUCUUCUCAAUUCUUCACGAGGUGCUUUGGUUUGCCAAAUUACAUGAUUUUGCAGUGAAUUAGAUCAAAACCAUGCUAAUAAUUGCUUGGUUUCGGUAAAACUAGAACUACAUGACUCGGUAUGGAAAUAUCAAAAAAUAUCCCUUAAACCAUAGGCAAUUGUUCUAAAAAUCCUCUAGUUUGGGUCAAAUCAAAACUAAAAUGACUGAAAAAUUGCUGAAAAUAACGUAAGAUGACAUGUCAUCCUGCGACUUGUGUUAAACGAGGGUGAUAAGCCUUACACCACAAAGGAAAUCAUUACAAAAAAUUUGAAAAAUAGAAACGAAUGGCCAAUGUAAGAUGUUUUCUCUCGGUAGGGGAUACAACGAAUCCUCAUUUGCAUCAAUGAAGGAUUUACGAAUGGUUUUGGCAUUAGGAACAAUUAACUUGAAACCUGCGGUUCUUCAACUAUUUGAGUGUAUUGAGGAUUUCAAUGCUUCCAUGCAACGUUAGAAAAAUGCUCAAGUAUGAAUAAGUUUAAUGAUAGUUCUAAAAAAAUUUGUGUGUUUUGCCAAUAUGCACGUCUGUUGGUGGAUAUGGACCUUUCGCCUAAUAUUUUUCAUGAGAUAUUGGUGACAAGGGAAGCAAAGAGAACAUAUCCUAAAACAAUUCAACUUUUGGAAUGCUACGAAAACAUCUACAAGAGAAGUGAAGUGACCUAAAAGUAGGACAUUUCUCGAAUCAUAACACAUAUGGGCUCGGUCCCUACCAGCUCAUGGGUUCUUAAAGUACUUCACAUUUUCAGGCUUGAUGCUUGGGGCGUUCUUAAAUAGAUUAGUGGAUCGACCCAUAUCCUUGUUACUCUUAAGGGAUAAAAGGCUACAAAAAUAUCUAUAAAAUUAAAAUAGAACAAAAAUUUUAAAAUAUUAUUAUUUAUUGCCUUAUUUCAUUUCAUUACCAUCAUCUUAUAAUACAAAUCCAUAAAUACAAGGUUCUUCACAUUAGGAAAAAAAAAAUUCAAACUAUUGGAGUACCAAGACAAUAACAAAAUGACAUCUCAUGGAAUAUUCAAGAAGGAAUAUAAUUUGUGUACGCUCUUUAGUAUGGAAAACAUACAUACUCAUGUAUGCACAUAAUCUGUUUUGGAGAACUCUCGUAUACAUUUAUAUAUUGUAACCAAAAAAAAUACAUUUACAUAUGG
rnacentral:lncRNA from 1 species